rnacentral:rRNA from 1 species
GCCGCGUGCAGGAUGAAGCAUCUAUGGUGUGUAAACUGCUUUUAUACAGGAAGAAACCCUCCCACGUGUGGGAGAUUGACGGUACUGUAGGAAUAAGGAUCGGCUAACUCCGUGCCAGCAGCCGCGGUAAUACGGAGGAUCCAAGCGUUAUCCGGAAUCAUUGGGUUUAAAGGGUCCGUAGGCGGCCUUAUAAGUCAGUGGUGAAAUCUCCCGGCUCAACCGGGAAAUGGCCAUUGAUACUGUAGGGCUUGAAUUAUUAGGAAGUAACUAGAAUAUGUAGUGUAGCGGUGAAAUGCUUAGAGAUUACAUGGAAUACCAAUUGCGAAGGCAGGUUACUACUAAUGGAUUGACGCUGAUGGACGAAAGCGUGGGUAGCGAACAGGAUUAGAUACCCUGGUAGUCCACGCCGUAAACGAUGGAUACUAGCUGUUGGGCGCAAGUUCAGUGGCUAAGCGAAAGUGAUAAGUAUCCCACCUGGGGAGUACGUUCGCAAGAAUG